UGAUAACUGAUAACUCUUGAUGAUGGUGGGCUGGUUGCGGCUGCCGGAAAGAUGGGAAAUAAAUAUUUGUUGCCACAUCUAGCGGGAAAUUUUACUCGAGCAAGGUCAUAUCUUUAUCUAGGGACAUUUAUUUUUUUUUUUGCCAUUUUUAACAAAAUUUAUGAUCUGAACUGCCUCGUGGACUCGUGCAGGAGAUGGCAAGGUUUCUCAUCCUAGACAUGCCCAGAACACUUUAGCCAGCCGUGCUGCACAAACGUGACCAUGUCAUGCUGCUACCUCGUCAUCGGCUGCUCCAUUGCCGUGGCGUGCGCUCUGCUCUGCCCCUAUUAUCUUCACUUCAGUGGAGCCGUACCAACCUGAGCAUGCCAACUCCAAUAAGCCCAUGGCUCAGGAUGAUGCAAAGUCCUCUUCAACAACUGCCAUGGAUAGAGUGACCAUACAGAAGAGAUCCCUCGUGUCUCACGCUGUUGUGUUUCCCAAUGCCUCUCAACCCAGGCCAUGCCUGCUAUU
rnacentral:lncRNA from 1 species